CUCACGUCGAAGUUAAACAAAUCAUAAUGCUGCCAGAAUUCGGACAAUCCGCCGCCGCUCUGGAUUGCGAUCAAAUCCAUACUGCGUUGGCCCGGUCCUUUCGGUACCGGAUUCCUCAGCCCCCAGCCCCCCGGGGUCGGCAGGACCGGGUCUUAAUUUCCCGCAGUGAGAUAAUCCCCAAUCCUGCGGGCCAGCGUCAGUUGGCCCUUUU
rnacentral:sRNA from 1 species